GUACUCUUUGGUUACAGUUGUUCAACCAGUUACUAAUCUAACUAACUGUAACCGGUUGAACAACUGAACCCAAAGGGUGCAAA
rfam:Ictidomys tridecemlineatus contig014120, whole genome shotgun sequence.